rnacentral:rRNA from 1 species
UUUGUAAGUAAAAAAUCGUAACAAGGUUUCCGUAGGUGAACCUGCGGAAGGAUCAUUACCGAGUGCGGGCCCUCGCGGCCCAACCUCCCACCCUUGUCUCUCUACACCUGUUGCUUUGGCGGGCCCACCGGGGCCACCCGGUCGCCGGGGGACGCACGUCCCCGGGCCCGCGCCCGCCGAAGCGCUCUGUGAACCCUGAUGAAGAUGGGCUGUCUGAGUACGAUGAAAAUUGUCAAAACUUUCAACAAUGGAUCUCUUGGUUCCGGCAUCGAUGAAGAACGCAGCGAAAUGCGAUAAGUAAUGUGAAUUGCAGAAUUCCGUGAAUCAUCGAAUCUUUGAACGCACAUUGCGCCCCCUGGCAUUCCGGGGGGCAUGCCUGUCCGAGCGUCAUUUCUGCCCUCAAGCACGGCUUGUGUGUUGGGUGUGGUCCCCUCGGGGACCUGCCCGAAAGGCAGCGGCGACGUCCGUCUGGUCCUCGAGCGUAUGGGGCUCUGUCACUCGCUCGGGAAGGACCUGCGGGGGUUGGUCACCACCAUAUUUACCACGGUUGACCUCGGAUCAGGAUGAGACCA